GUUGGACCUACUGCACCAAUCAAACAUGACUGCUGGAUUCGAUCCACUCAUGACUUAGUUGGAAUCUUCAGAGCAUCAGAGAGCAUCUUGAUACUUUUACACCUUCUUACUCUAGGGCUCAGUCACACCACUCAGAAACCAAAGAGGCUGUGGCGACAGGGAAUUCCCAAAAGAGUGUAAUGAAAAGAAGCCCGUUCCAAUAGCUAUGUCUGCUUCAGAAAGCCUUCCUGAGUGGAGAAUAAAAACUCAGCAAAGUAGCAACAUCAGUGAAGUAAUGCCAAAGUUUUGAGUAACAGUUUGACUUUGUUUUGGGGUAAGUAAAGCAUUCCUGGAGUUUUCCCCUAUGUGACAGCUUACACGUUUUCACUCAAUAUGCUGCAUGAAAGCCUAAUGCAAUAUUGAGUAGUUACUGGCAGAACAACAGGUCUAAACGCAACCACUGUUCCCUUUGUUGUGCUCUGGUCCAAAGGCAUGCACAUAUGGGAGGAGCACAGUGAAGUCAACUCUCUGACAGCACAGAACCAUGUGGGCGCGUGUGUGCGUGUGCGUGUUUGCGUGCGAGUAUGUGGGUGGGUUCAUGUUUUCAUUCUGCAUUAAUAACAAAGUUCCCUCAUUGGACAACCCUCAUUGGGUUGCGGAUAUGAGAUGAAUAAAUGUAGAUGAAUGACUGAUCUUUGUCUCUGUGAACAUCUCUCUCUCUCUCUCUCUCUCUCUCUCUCUCGCUCUCUCUCUCUCCUUCCCUCUCCCACUUUCUCUCUUCUCCUACUUCAACCUCAUUCCCUCUUCCUUCUGUGGUCUAACCCACAGACCUGAACCAUUGUUGACGCCCGCCCAUCUCGGUACUCCUCGCUCAGGGUCUAGAACAUGGAGCCAGGAAGGAAGCAGAAUGCACUGCAGUACCGUGGGCCUACAUUACCGGAGGAGUCAGGGCUCUGGACUAGAAGCUACAGAGGUUCAAAUAUUGAAAGACACCUUGUCCAGAUACUGUGAGUAUUUCUCUCUCUCUCUCAUUUCCUUUUUCGUACCUGUGUCUUUCCCUUUGCUCUUUAAAUGAAGUUGUAAUUCAUUUCCUCCCAUCGGCAGCCAUCAUACUGCCAGAGGCCUAAAACUCUGCUGAUGAAUAUGCUGGCAGUGUCACAUGCUUUAUGGUUGUCCC
rnacentral:lncRNA from 13 species